rnacentral:rRNA from 1 species
AUUGAACGCUGGCGGCAGGCCUAACACAUGCGAGUCGAGCGGAUGAAGGGAGCUUGCUCCUGGAUUCAGCGGCGGACGGGUGAGUAAUGCCUAGGAAUCUGCCUGGUAGUGGGGGAUAACGUCCGGAGACGGGCGCUAAUACCGCAUACGUCCUGAGGGAGAAAGUGGGGGAUCUUCGGACCUCACGCUAUCAGAUGAGCCUAGGUCGGAUUAGCUAGUUGGUGGGGUAAAGGCCUACCAAGGCGACGAUCCAUAACUGGUCUGAGAGGAUGAUCAGUCACACUGGAACUGAGACACGGUCCAGACGCCUACGGGAGGCAGCAGUGGGGAAUAUUGGACAAUGGGCGAAAGCCUGAUCCAGCCAUGCCGCGUGUGUGAAGAAGGUCUUCGGAUUGUAAAGCACUUUAAGUUGGGAGGAAGGGCAGUAAGUUAAUACCUUGCUGUUUUGACGUUACCAACAGAAUAAGCACCGGCUAACUUCGUG